rnacentral:lncRNA from 1 species
GAUGAGUUAGAUCUCCGAGUUGUGGUCUUUCUUUUAUCGGUCAGUCAAUAUACAUUGGACUAAGUUUUUCAACUUGAUGGCUGUUGCUUAACUUGUCCAGUCAUAUUGUUGGCAAGUAGAGGAUUCUUUGGAGUGUUUUAUUUGAUCUAUUUAGAAGGAUAUGAAGUAUUUUAUUUUGUUCCAGCAUACACCUUUUCUAGUUAUAAGCUUCUUAAUUAUGUUCACUAUUGCAAUUUCGUCAUUGAAAUUGACUCUCAAACGGCGGUUGCGUCUUCAUUCAACCCCAAUAAGGAAUUAAAAUAUAACGCGAUAUCUUCAUGGAACCUCACAAAAGCAAAUUUUCUUUGACCGCCAGUUCUACCCUUACUUGCUGAUUUUAAUUUAUAAUUGGGAUUCAAAGAAUUUCCAUUCUUUGACACGUAUUUGAAUUAAGGCACGCACGCAGUGACGCAUUGGAGGAGUAAAAUCAUCCUAAUUCCUUUCUUUACUUCAAUUAUUUUCACACCAGCAUAUAUAUACACAACAUCUCAUAUCUUGACUGAAACUAUAUAGAAGAAGAAAACAUGGAUUCAAACACUCUUGUUGAAAGCAAAUGUAAACCUGAAGCAGCGGUUUUUUGUUCUCCAAGACCGCUCUCUGAGCUUGAUGCUGCUGCAACUACAAUUCAAAAGGUUUACAAGAGUUAUCGUACUAGAAGAAACCUUGCAGAUUGUGCUGUUGUAGUGGAAGAAUUAUGGUGGAAAGCAUUGGAAUUUGCUGCUCUAAAAAAGGAUAUUGGAUCCGCCGCUGCAAUACUGCAUCUGCAAUCAAAGUAUCCAAAUCCCUAAAACUAUUCACAGACAACAAUGGAGAACUCUCCUAUUUUUAUCUUGAGAUACCCAAUUCAAUUCAUUAUAAAAAUAAGUAUUCAAUCGUAAUUUUACUAUAUUUUCUUAUUCUUGUUCUCUCGUUUUUUCCUUCUUAAUCAUGGAUAUCCAAUAGUUUAUACUUCUUUCCAAAUAAAAUAUGAUGUAUUUCAUUAAAAAUUAAAAUAAAAUAUAUUAAUUUUUAAUUAUUUUUUUACUUAUAUUUCAUAUCAGAUUAGCAUUAUCUAUUUUAUCAAUGAUUUAUGAGAUGUAACAUUUUAUAUUUUUUAAAUUUUUUUACGAUCUAUAAUAAUUACUGCAAUAGAAGCAAAAAUUAAUUAUUUAUCAUCAAUAAUAAAUUAAUAAAAUAAUUUAAAUUAUUAAUAAAAUUAAAACUAUUGUCUAACUUUUUAUAAUUUAAUCAAACAAGGUUUUUUUUAUAUAUAUAAGAAAUAUACUCAUAUAUGUUUUCAUAAAAAAAAAUAGUAGUAAUAUAUGCUCCUCUAGCAUUUAAUAAAGGAUGUGUCAACUACUAUAUUUUCAGCCUAAAAAUGGUUGUAAAACUAGUAAUAGCAUGGGACAACAAAUAUUGCAACCCUUCUAUCUCAUUUUCUUCAAGACACGGCCCGUUUCACUGGUCAAAUACAUAUGAUAAAACUGCAAUUCUGUAUGACUAUUUUACGUAUUUUUCUGUUGCUUUAGAUUAGGCCUAUGUAUAGCUGGAAUAUUAUUUUCUGACACAUAUAUAUUAAAGAAAAAAUAAACAACUUGGCAAAAGAUUGAUUCAAAACUGCAUUAGAUUAUUAGCACUAGUAUGAAUUAAUGUGACUUAUCUCAACUUGUUAAUUAGCGUUGAGAGCAGGACGCGGCGGGUGACAAGUUGCACAAAAACUACUGAAUAUUACUAAGAGUUUAGUUAUGUAAUUUUAAUAUAUACUUGAAUUCAAUUUUUUUGAAAAUUAGUGAUUAAUGUUAUUUUAAUAUAAAAAAAUAUUUCUCAUUUAAAAAAAAAAGGUUACUAAACAUGUCUCCAUAAGUACAAGUACAGUUUAAUUAUCACAAUUUGAUUUUCUUAUUCUCCUCACAAUAUAAAUAUUAAUAUUCAAUAAUCACUUCAAAAAUAAUAUAUACAAGAAUAAAUAUAUUCUUUAAGGAUAAAUGUACUCUGAAAUUGAAAUUCAGUUAAAACCAUUUCAAUUUUAUAAAAUAUAAUUUUAUGCAGUUUGAUUGUUGAGCCAAUGAAUAUUGAAUAAAAUAAUAUAUACUAUAUUACUACACAUUUUAACACAUAUUUUAUAAGGCACCAUAUUUAAUUGAUUAAAAUAUAAAUUAGUUCUCCAAAUUCAUACGAGACUCAUGUAAAUUUUAUUAAAUAAAAAAAAUAUAUAAACAAAUGUGGCUUAAAGAGUAUUAUUAGCACUUGUCUUGAAGGAGCUUCCGGAUUCAUCUCCACAACAAAAUGUAAUUGUUACUAACUUUUUUUGGGAGAUAUUAUAUCUUAUUACUUCUUAUAUUUCGUAAAAAAAAAAUUAUUUUUCACCAAUUUAUUUAUAAAAGUUAUUUAGAUUAUUGAACCUAUAGUGUUACAAAUUAAAUAUCAUAAAAGUAUUUAUAUAUAUAUAUAUAUAUAUAUAUAUAUAUAUAUUCACAAUAGAUUUGAUUAUUCUAAAAUUAGAUAUUAGUAAAAUGAAUAAAUUAAUUAUUAAUAUUAGAACUAUUUAUUAUUAAUCAUACAUGUGUAUAUAAUAUUAAUAAUAUCAAUUAUCAUUAUGUUUAAUAAAAACUGAUAUUGUUCACUUUAUAAAUGAUUUUAUUUUAUAGUGGCUAACAUUAUAAAUACCACUUUUAAAAAUUAUCAUUCUUCAGGUUAAAUUUAUGAUAAUGAGAAAAUAUCAAUGAUUAUUAAAAAUAAAUUAGUAAAAUCACAAUUUCUUUCUUUUUCAUUUUUUUAAUUUAUGUAAAAUAAACAAAAAUAACACUUUUUGUGAGAGCUAGAAAAGAAGUAUAUACUUCACCAAGAAAAAAAAAGUAUAUACUAUGAAUUUUUUUGUAAUAAACCACUUACCAAAAUUGUCCCAAUUGUGGAGUAGUAAACAAUAAUAUGAAAUUUCAACAACGACAUACGUUACUUGAUGGAACUAAAAUUUUGACUCCCCAUUGAUACAAAUCGAAAAGAAUAAGUUAAAACAAAGAUUAGCACCUCAAAAUUAAUUUCAUAUUUGCUUCAUUUUCUUUUUAUCAAAUAUAAUUGUGCCACUAUCUCAUUAACAAGAACAAUAAGGACUUUGAUGGCAAAUUAUUUUAAAAUUAUACACAUUUAAAUAAUUGUGAAUUUCUGUUUAACGUAUUAAAUUCAAUAAACAAAUCCCAUAUCUCGUUUUUGUUUUUUGUUUUCUUUCAUUUCGGUUGAGGUGCCGUCCCCUUCAAUUCAACGGUUCAUAAAAAAUGUGAAUUGGGAGUGUGUAUGUGAUUCUUGAUAGGGUCAUUGGAAUAAUAAUGAAAACUAUUGCAAUAACAGCCAAAAAUCAUCAAAUUCCACAAUAUAUAGUACAUUAUGUGUGCUGUAUUAAUUAAUUAAUUAGUGUAGUACGUGUGCAGAAUUGAGUAAAAAAUUAGUUUCCGCGCUUAUAAAUAUAAAAUUCCAUUUAUUAAAUUGUAAAUCAGAAACUUAGUAGCAUUAAAUGGAGUAAACAUUAGUAUUAUUUAUUACUUACUAAAAAAGUGAGAUCAUGUAUAUUCAAAAGAUUUAUUUUAAGUGAUAAAUGUCAAAAUUAUUAUAUUAACUCUCAAAUUUAAAUUCAAAAUAUCAUAUUUGUGAGGAAAUUUUUUAUCAUUUAAUCUACACCAAAAACAUACACCUAUCACAAUUAAAAAAUUAAAGGUUUGCUAAUUAACCAUCCACACCAACCGAUGACUACCCAGAGCACCCUAUAUAUAGAAGGAUAAUACUCGAGGAAAAGUUUUAUCGUUAAUUGUGGUUUUAUUCAACUUGACAGAAAAUUUCAAUUAAAAAUAAAAUUAAUGAUCUAAUAUCAAUGAAGAUGAAACGUACGUUGUGAUCAUGUUAUUUUUUUAAAUUAAAAAUUAAUUACAUGUCAUUUAAAAUUAGAUAGAAAAUACAAAAUGACAAAUGAUAAAAAUGUUAGAGAUUAACUGUAAAUGUCGAUGCUCUUUUUAUAGAGUAAACUACAUCAUUUAUUAACCACCUGAUCAAACUAUAUAACAUCAUAAUUUGUAAAAUAUCUAAGAAGAAGUUUGCAAGAAUUCAAAAUAGCGUCAAACUCAAAUAUAUGACCAAGAGACUCACAAAGACAAUUAACAAUCUCCCUUAUUAUCUAACUCAAAAAAUACAUUUUAGAGGUUGAAGUCUCUCACCCAUCAUAGAGUUUAUGAACAUGUUCUUUUAUUUGGUGUGUAAGAUCGAGUCAACCAAAAUUACCAUUUAAUUCAAGUUUUUGACAUAAAUAAUACUACAUGCGUUCCUAAAUACAUGACAUUAGUACUAACUAAAUUACAGGAUUUAAAAUAGUUGGUAAUAAUAUAUAAUUUAUUUAUUUUUUCCGUCACAUAUGAAUAUUUAAUGUUUAUAAAAAAAAAAGUAAAAUAAUUAGAGAUAAAAAGAUACUUGAGGUGUUGGUUAAGUGCUAAGAGUUUAAUUUGUGGAUAAUUAUAAAAUUAUUAUUAAUGUCACUUUAAUUAUAUACAAAAUUUAAAGAUAAAAGUAUUAAUUCGAAUUAGACUAAACUGGACGGUCAACUUCAGUGCUCGAAGAACGAUUCGUAUCAAAUGACAGGAUGAUAUAUUUACCGAUGUAGGAAAUACACUGUUUAUAAGACAAAAGUAUCAACCUAGAGGAGCAUAAGAGCAAUGUAUGAGUUUCAAUGUCGUGGAUUCAACAAGAUCGUCUAGUUAGAUUAAAUCUGACCACUAACUCUCAAAAUCUUAAAUUUUUUACACUAGAUGGUGGUAUUAGACCGAAUAGGCAUGUAAAUUAGAAUUAGACUUGGGAUAAAAUUAGUAGUACUCUUACAAUAUAUUUGUGUUAAACAUGAAUUGAAAUUAUAAAAGUUGACUUGAGAUAUAUUGUUUAAUUAUUUGACCAUUUGCAACUGCUAUCAUUGAAUUUUCUAUAAUACUAAAUUACUAAUACUGUAGUAUUAAAAAAUGGAGGUACAGAAUUCAAACCCAAUAAAGAAUGAAAAUACAGAUAUAAAGCGAUAAUAGCAAAUGGUGUUUCUUCAUGGAACCUAGCAAAAGCAAACUUUCUUUGACCGCCAGCUCUUACCCUUACACUGCUUGCUCUCUUUAAGAAAGAAAAUAAACUAAAUACUAAGUUAACAUUCCUAUUUUAUUUUAUAUGUUAACGUUUUCAAAAUAAUAUUUUGUUAAUUUUAAUUUUUUAUAUUUUAAGAUAAAUUAAUACACGUAAUAAAUUAAAAUAAUAUUCAUUUAGAGAUAAUGUAAAAAAAAAGUGUUUAUAAUUAAAAAUAGAGGUAGUACAAUGCAAACACAACCUUUAUUUAUAAGCGAUUCCCACAAUACUGAAAAUGAGAAUUCAAACUACCAACCAAGCUUUGAAUUGAUCAAAUAACUCGUGUGUCUAGUAGAAAGUAACCUUGAAAUUAGAACAUUAUAUUCACAUACCUUUAUUUAUUUAUUUAUUUAUUUUUUGUUCAUAUUCAAAAUUGUACAUUCGUAAUUGGAAUUCAAAGACUGCUCCUUAAUUCUCUCAAUUUAUAGUCUUUGACACGUAUUUGAAGGCACGCACGCAUUGGAAGAGUAAAGUCUAUAAGUAAGCAAAUGAGAAACACUGAUAAACCCAUCUUAAUUCCUUUAUUUUGUUCUACUUAUACUUCUAUAGUUUUCAUCAACUUACACACAAAGAUCUCAUAUCUUGAUUCAAAGUGUACUCAUACACCAUCCAACAAAGGUAAAAUACUCUUCAUGUUUUUAGUGUUUAUUUCUUGCUUAAAUAAUAAUUAUAGUAAGAGAUUAUUUUUUAUGCCUCCAUAGUAAAACUUUUGUAAAAAUGCAUUAAAGUAUUAAGAUAGUCUAUAACUGUUAUAAGGUGCAAUUUAUUUCUUUAAAUUUAAUAGUCUAUACAACAACCAACAACCGUAUAUUGCCUAAGUCAUAAAUCAAAUCAUAUCAUUAUGUUAAUUUAUUAUAUUAAUUCUUAAAUUAAUUUUACACUAAAUAUAUAGGCUAUAUUGGAGUAUUAUAUAGUAAAAAAAUGCAUUAUCCACUUCAUUUAUUUUAUUUGAAGUUUUAAGAUUUACAAUUGUUGGAGGUUAAUUAUGUAACUUUACAAUAUGACAGAUUUCAAAUCCCAUUUAUGUCUUGGCUGCUAAAUUAUAUAAAUAUUUUGUGCAGAUUUGUGGGGUAUUAUAUUAUAAAUGGGGGUAUCUGUUACUGAUUUAUCAAAUGGAUCCAAUAAUAUGAGCAGUUCAAGUCGGUUAAGUGAUUACAGACCUCAACAUAUGAUUCUUGAAAAAAUUCAUUCAUUUGUUAAAGAAGAAAAAAUGGAUUCAGAAAAACUUGUUGAAAGCAAAAGUGAUUCUGAAAUGAAAUGUAAACAAGUUCCAGUGAUUUCUCUGCCUGAAGCAGUGGUUUUUUGUUCUCCAAGACCUGUGUAUGAGCUUGAUGCUGCUGCAACUAAACUUCAAAAGGUUUACAAGAGUUAUCGUACUAGAAGAAACCUUGCAGAUUGUGCUGUUGUAGCAGAAGAGUUAUGGUGGAAAGCAUUGGA